rnacentral:sRNA from 1 species
GAAUGGGGCCUCGACCUUUUUCAUCUUGUGAAACCCAGACUCAAUGGUGUCACCUCCUUCAGCAGGACAGAGGCUAAGAGGAGUCCCUGUGUGUGCAGCUGGAGCCUUCAGAUUCUCUUCAGGGGAAGAGUCCACAUCCCACCUCAUCAUGUCCCGAAGAAGCCAGCGCCUCACGCGCUACUCCCAGGGUGACGAUGACGGCAGCAGCAGCAGCGGAGGGAGCUCGGUGGCUGGGAGUCAGAGCACCCUGUUUAAAGACAGCCCUCUCAGGACCUUGAAGAGGAAAUCCAGCAACAUGAAGCGCCUGUCCCCAGCGCCACAGCUGGGCCCGUCCUCUGAUGCACACACCUCCUACUACAGUGAGUCGCUGGUCCGCGAGUCCUGGUUCCCACCCAGGAGCUCCCUGGAGGAACUGCAUGGUGACGCCAACUGGGGUGAGUGUGGAGCCCUCCGUCCCGGGGCUUUGCUUCCUCGGCCUCCCGUGAGAUACUCCUCACAGUGUCCCCUGCAGUCCCCGGGAUUCCCUCCUCAGAGCACCUCUCUGCCCAGACCCCACUUUUCAGAAGCUCUUGGAGGCCCAGAAGAGCCCCUGGUUCUUCCCUGCACAGGUGAGGACCUGCGGGUGCGGAGGAGGAGAGGCACGGGCGGCUCAGAGAGCAGCAGGGCCAGCGGGCUCGUGGGGCGCAAGGCCACCGAGGACUUCCUGGGCUCUUCCUCGGGCUACUCCUCUGAGGACGACUAUGUGG